rnacentral:rRNA from 1 species
GAGUUUGAUCCUGGCUCAGAACGAACGCUGGCGGCGUGCCUAACACAUGCAAGUCGAACGGAAUUGAGGGGCUUGCUCUUCAAUUUAGUGGCGCACGGGUGAGUAACGCGUAGAUAAUCUGCCUGAUGAUCUGGGAUAACACUUCGAAAGGGGUGCUAAUACCGGAUAAGCCCACGGAGUCUUUGGAUUCUGCGGGAAAAGGGGGGGACCUUCGGGCCUUCUGUCAUCARAUGAGUCUGCGUACCAUUAGCUAGUUGGUAGGGUAAUGGCCUACCAAGGCUACGAUGGUUAGCUGGUCUGARAGGAUGAUCAGCCACACUGGAACUGAGACACGGUCCAGACUCCUACGGGAGGCAGCAGUGGGGAAUUUUGCGCAAUGGGCGAAAGCCUGACGCAGCAACGCCGCGUGAGUGAUGAAGGCUUUCGGGUCGUAAAGCUCUGUCGAGGGGAAAGAAGUGUACUUUGGCUAAUAUCCAUUGUACUUGACGGUACCCCUAAAGGAAGCACCGGCUAACUCCGUGCCAGCAGCCGCGGWAAUAC